GGAGAGGCAGUUCACCAUUGGCCCUGAGCAUCCCUGCAAGUUCUUGCUGACUGUCCUUAAUGGAAGGCUU